rnacentral:rRNA from 1 species
GACGAACGCUGGCGGCGUGCUUAACACAUGCAAGUCGAACGGAAAGGCCCUGCUUUUGUGGGGUGCUCGAGUGGCGAACGGGUGAGUAACACGUGAGUAACCUGCCCUUGACUUUGGGAUAACUUCAGGAAACUGGGGCUAAUACCGGAUAGGAGCUCCUGCUGCAUGGUGGGGGUUGGAAAGUUUCGGCGGUUGGGGAUUGACUCGCGGCUUAUCAGCUUGUUGGUGGGGUAGUGGCUUACCAAGGGUUUGACGGGUAGCCGGGCUGAGAGGGGGACCGGCCAAGCUGGGACUGAGAUAAGGCCCAGACUACUACGGGAGGCAGCAGUGGGGAAUAUUGCACAAUGGGCGGAAGCCUGAUGCAGCAACGCCGCGUGCGGGAUGACGGCCUUCGGGUUGUAAACCGCUUUCGCCUGUGACGAAGCGUGAGUGACGGUAAUGGGUAAAGAAGCACCGGCUAACUACGUG